AUGCCCUGUCCACCAAAACAACGAACCCAAAACACCCGACUGCACGGCAUGACAACAUCGAAACAUUGCCACCCAUUGUCAGGGAGGCGUUGCAACAGGAGAAAGAAUAUCCUUGAACCCACACAUCUAGUUGCUUCUUUCUGGUUGCUGCACCUCUUCAAACGCAAAUCAGCAAUGGCCUGCAGUCAUGGUAUUUCAUUCAGGUCUAUAGCAUUUAGAUCAUUGUCGUGUCUUGGUAACCAUCAUGUAUCAGCACCUUGUGCACGUGCAUGCCUGUAA
rnacentral:rRNA from 1 species